CAAAGGGAUAGCCUCGGGAAACUGGGGAUUAAUACCUUAUGACACUCUUAGAUCGCAUGAUCAUAGAGUUAAAGCGCAAAGCGGUGAAAGAUGGUCUCGCGUCCUAUUAGCUAGUUGGUGAGGUAACGGCUCACCAAGGCUUCGAUAGGUAGCCGGCCUGAGAGGGUGAACGGCCACACUGGAACUGAGACACGGUCCAGACUCCUACGGGAGGCAGCAGUGGGGAAUAUUGCACAAUGGAGGAAACUCUGAUGCAGCGACGCCGCGUGAAUGAUGAAGGCCUUCGGGUUGUAAAGUUCUGUCCUUGGGGAAGAUAAUGACGGUACCCGAGGAGGAAGCCCCGGCUAACUACGUGCCAGCAC
rnacentral:rRNA from 1 species